rnacentral:rRNA from 1 species
GGAGGGCCAAGUUGGUGCCAGCAGCCGCGGUAAUUCCAGCUCCAAUAGCGUAUAUUAAAGUUGUUGCAGUUAAAAAGCUCGUAGUUGAAUUUCGGGGUCAGUAAGUUGGUCGUGCCCCYGGUAUGUACUGGCUUUACUGAUUCCUCCUUCUUGWAAAACCGUAAUGCCAUUAAUUUGGGGUGGGGGGAAACCAGGACUGUUACUUUAAAAAA